UAGUGUGUGGGUUUGAUCCUGGCUCAGAAUGAAUGCUUACAACAUGCUUAACACAUGCAAGUUUAACAAUUAAAUAAAUAUAUUUAAAAGUAGCGUACGGGUGAGUAUGACAUUAAUUGAAGAUUGCCUUUAAGUUUAAGUAAUAUAUUAUUAUUAAUGAUAAUAAUUAAUAUAAAUCUUAGAUAAUAAAAAAUUUCUUUUAGAAGAAAUAAAAAAAAAGAAAAAAUUUGCUUAAAGAUAUCGUAAUGUAGGAUUAGGUUGUUGGUGAUUUAGAAGAUCACAAAGCCUACAAUCCUUAGCUGGUCUUAGCGGACGUACAGCCACACUGGGACUGAGACAAGGCCCUGACUUUCGUAAGGCUGCAGUGAGGAAUAUUGGACAAUGAGAGAAAUCUUGAUCCAGCAAUGUUGUAUGGAUGAUCAAAUGACGGCUUUAACAAAUCACGAAGUUGUAAAAUUCUAAAAUUAAAAAGGAAAAUGACGUUUUUAAUUAUUUAGCCCCGGCUAACCUCGUGCCAGCAGCCGCGGUAAUACGAGGGGGGCAAGUGUUAUUCAACAGAACUGGGUGUAAAGGGUUUUUAGACUAUUUUUUGUAUGUAUAUUCAUAAAUUACAAAAUCAAGCUUUGUAAUAUGUUUAUAAACUAUAAAAUUUUGAGUAAAAUUAAAGUUAGCAGUAUUUUUUAAGUAAAAGUGGCAUUUUACUAUAUAAAAAAAAGUAUCUAAGAUGAAAAUAGCUAACUAAAUUUAAACUGACGUUGAUAAAACUAAAGCAUGGGGAGCAAACAGGUUUAGGUAUCCUGGUAGUCCAUGCUAUGACUAAUGAAUGUUAAUUGUUUUAUUAUAAUGAAAUGAUUAAGCUAACGCAUUAAACAUUCCACCUGGGGACUACGAUCGCAAGAUUAGAACUCAAAGGAAUUGGCGGGGGCUUUUUACAAACGGUGGAGCAUGUGGUUUAAUCCGAUAAUCCGCGUAAAAUCUUACCAAUUUAUAUUAAAGGUGUUGCAUGGCUGUCGUCAGCUCGUGUCAUGAGAUAUAGUGUAUCAAAUUGCAUAUAACGAGCAAAACCCUUAUGUUUUUAUUAAAUAAAUAUUCUAUAAAAUUUUUAAAUUAUACAAUUUUAUUAUAUAAACAUUAUUUAAAAGAUUUUACGUAGAUUCAAAUAAUUGAAUUUCAUCUUUCAUAAUAAAAGUAGGCUUACGUCAAGUCGUCAUGGCCCUUUCAAAUUGGGCUACACAUGUGCUACAAUGGCAUAAACAACGAGAAGCAAAAAUGUAAAUUAUUAGCAAAUCUUUAAAAAUUGUCUAAGUUCGGAUUGAAAAAAUUGAAAUUCAUUUUCAUAAAGAUGGAAUCGUUAGUAAUCGUAAAUCAGCACGUUACGGUGAAUAGUUUUGAAGUCUUGCACACACCGCCCGUCACGUCAAGGAAAUGAAAUUGGCUAUAUCACAUAAUAUAACUAACAAUAAAAUCUAUAUUAAAAUAAAAUUUUAUAUAAAAUAAUAUAUAAUUUUUGUUUUGUCUAUAUUUUAUUAUAUGAGUGCUAUUAACAAAUUUGUGACCCUGAUGAAGUCGUAACAAGGUAAUCGUAGGGGAACUUGCGGUUGAAUUAAAUAAACA
rnacentral:ncRNA from 1 species